CAAGUACUCCCUCCGUCCGGAAUUACUUGUCAUCAAAAUGGAUGUGUCUAGAACUAAAAUACAUUUAGAUACAUCCAUUUCAAUGACAAGUAUUUUCGGACAGAGGGAGUACAAG
rnacentral:pre_miRNA from 1 species